GCAAGCGUUAUCCGGAAUUAUUGGGCGUAAAGGGCGCGUAGGCGGCUAUGCAAGUGACGGGUGAAAUCCCUCGGCUUAACCGAGGAACUGCCUGUCAGACUGCAUGGCUCGAGACCAGGAGAGGUGAGUGGAAUUCCCAGUGUAGCGGUGAAAUGCGUAGAUAUUGGGAGGAACACCAGUGGCGAAGGCGGCUCACUGGACUGGUACUGACGCUGAUGCGCGAAAGCGUGGGGAGUAAACAGG
rnacentral:rRNA from 1 species